UGUGUGUGAGAUUGUGAUCUAUAGGUAAUGAGGUGUAUUAUAGUAGGGACAGUGUAUGUCUGUAUGUGGCUUGUGUGCCUGUGUUAGUGGUGUGUGUAUUUGUGUCUAGGUGCUGUAGGAGUGUUUCUAUGUUCACAGGAAUGAUCAAGUCAUGAGUGCAGAGAUGAGUCCACCUGGGUUACCCAUGCCAGACUAUGAAUCUCUCCCUCCCACUGUCCAUCCUGCAAGCCUCUGACUGAGUAAUCUUCCUAGCACAGAGUUCCAAUCAUCUCAUUCUCCUGUUUAAAAAUCUGCAAUGGCUCCCCAUGGCCUUCCAAAUAAAGAAUGAAUUCAUUGA